AGUGGAAUUGCUGGGUCACAUGGUAACUCUAUGUUUAAUAUUUUGAGGAACUGCCAAACUGUUUUCCAAGUGGCUGUACCAUUUUACAUUCCCACCAGCAAU
rnacentral:pre_miRNA from 1 species